rnacentral:rRNA from 1 species
CCUACGGGCGGCAGCAGUGAGGAAUAUUGGUCAAUGGACGAGAGUCUGAACCAGCCAAGUAGCGUGAAGGAUGACUGCCCUAUGGGUUGUAAACUUCUUUUAUAAAGGAAUAAAACGAGGCACGUGUGCCUUUUUGCAUGUACUUUAUGAAUAAGGAUCGGCUAAAUCCGUGCCAGCAGCCGCGGUAAUACGGAGGAUCCGAGCGUUAUCCGGAUUUAUUGGGUUUAAAGGGAGCGUAGAUGGGUUGUUAAGUCAGUUGUGAAAGGUUGCGGCUCAACCGUAAAAUUGCAAUUGAUACUGGCAGUCUUGAGUACAGGUGAGGUAGGCGGAAUUCGUGGUGUAGCGGUGAAAUGCUUAGAUAUCACGAAGAACCCCGAUUGCGAAGGCAGCUUACUAAACUGUGACUGACAUUGAUGCUCGAAAGUGUGGGUAUCAAACAGGAUUAGAUACCCGGGUAGUC